rnacentral:misc_RNA from 1 species
GAACGCACCUUGCGCCCUUUGGCUAUUCCGAAGGGCAUGCCUGUUUGAGUAUCAUGAACACCUCAACUCUCAUGGUUUGCCAUGAUGAGCUUGGACUUUGGGGGUCUUGCUGGCCUAUGGUCGGCUCCUCUCAAAUGAAUCAGCUUACCAGUGUUUGGCGGCAUCACAGGUGUGAUAACUAUCUGCGCUUGUGGUUUCCCGCUAGAUAACCUUCAGCGAUGGAGGUUCGCUGGAGCUCAUAAAUGUCUCUCCUCAGCGAGGACAGCACUUUGACUGUUUGAUCUCAAAUCAGGUAGGACUACCCGCUGAACUUAAG